GCAUACAGGUGUGCUGAGUGUUUGCACAAAUGAGCGUGUGCAAAGAGAAGCUGUUUGCAUACGUGUGUGUGUAUGCAAAGUUAAGCACGUGUGUGCAUGUGUGUGUGUGUGUGUGUGUGUGUGUGUGUGUGUGUGUGUGUGUGUGUGUGUGUGUGUGUGUGUGCAGGUUUUGUAAAUGUGCAUCUGUAAUUGAAGAAGGAAAAAAAAGAGAGUGUGAGAAAUCCUGAGAGCAGGUUUGUGUGUUCCUAAAAGUGUUAGUGUGGAAACUCGAUAAGUAAGACAGCAUGUACCUGGAGAGAGAGAGAGAGAGAG